AGCAGCCAUAUUAGAGUGAAGAGGCCUGGUUGUGGAGGGCUGUGCGCUCAGCGUGGAAUUAUAGCAGUUCAUUUUCUAAAGUGCCACGAGACCUGGGGAUGAACCUUCCGAGAGAAGGGAAAACCACAACAGCAGUCCCCUCGUAGAGAUGCAAUUCAUCAUGGGCAGGACGGCUGGGUCUGUCAACAGGAAGGGCUCUUUUCCCUGUGACGCACAAAAGCAAUCCCACGGGCUCUGUGUUGCAGCAAGAGGACCCUGAACUCCCUCAGACACCCUGGCUGUGUGCAGGGAGCCUCCGAAAUCCAGAGACGGGAGGCAUGCAUCGCCAUGUGAGCACCGAGCGGAGGCAUAAUGGGACUCCAGUUCCUAUGCCCCCACCAUAUUUUCUCUCUAAUUAAGAGUGGGGAUAGUUUGUGGUGAGGGUAGUUUGCAGUGGGAGUGAGACCCAUUUAUUUUGUUUCUUGUUAUUUUUUCAUUGAGAUGUAACUUAGAAGUAGUCUCAGGAAUAAGAGGGACACUUUUGCUUCCUGGUAAACAGAGGCUAGCAGUCUACUAAUAACCUGGCUAAGAGACCAGGCAAGGUAGCAGCUGCCAUCCUGAACACCACUGCAUCAGCUCAGCCACCUCCCAGGAGUGAGUCCAGCCAGGAGUGAGACCUUGUGACCCCACAGAGCCCACAAUACCCCACAAUGGAGCAGGGAGCACCAGCCGGAACUCACCCCUGCUGCCAUUCCUCCUCCUACCAGCAAGCCUCUAGCGACAUCUCUGAACAUGGUCUCUCCCUGCUCACACUCAGCUAUGCAGAGCGGGAAAAGGUACAACCUUCAGAACGUUCUGCUUAGCUACUACGCUCUAACCCGGUGGAUAAAGGAUAACCAGCAUCCCCUGUCAGGACACAGGGAGCUGUCCUGCAGAGCUGGCUCUACAUCAGAUCUGAUCUGAAUGCACUUGUUCUAAAACGCUUCAUCAAAAGAUUAACUGCAUGCUCUUCCUUCAGCGUUUCCUGUCCAAAACAAGCACUGGGGAUUCUGAGGAACCUCUGAGGAGCACCCUGCCUUUACUUGCAGUUCUUCCAGAGAGAUGUUGGAGCUGACAACUGGAGACAAUAUGGCUUGGUGACAACAUCAUAAAAGGAAUCUAAAGAAGUUGGAAUGGAAAGCAAAAGAACACUGCCAUAUUUUUACCAGGUGGCCCCACCACGCGCUACACAGACCAAGAGAGUGAACAUGUCCUUGUUCUUAAAGAGCUCACAAAUGAAUAUCUUUUUUUUUCCCUGAGACUGAUUCUUGCUCUGUCACCCAGGCUAGAGUGCAGUGGCGCGAUCUUGGCUCACUGCAAUCUCCACCUCCCGGGUUCAAGCAAUUCUCCUGCCUUGGCCUCCCAAGUAGCUGGGAUGACAGGCGCGAGCCACCAUGCCUGGUUAUUUUUUUUUUUUUUUUGUAUUUUUAGUAGAGACGGGAUUUCACCAUCUUGGCCUGGCUGGUCUUGAACUCCUGACCUCGUGAUCUUCCCACCGCAACCUCCCAAGGUGCUGGGAUUAUAGGCGUGAGCCGCCGUGCCUGGCCUGAAUAUUCUUAAACAAGGAGUGAAACAGAAAUAGUGUGUUCCUGUAUUUCAGAAUGACAAAGGAAACCAGGAACACUUGCAGGUUAAUAAGUCCAUCCCCCUGUCUCAGAGCAGAGUUCUCUGCUGAAAGGGCUACAGACUGACACCUUCUGUUUGAGGUCCACCCUAAUCGAAGUCCAUCUCUGGACUUUCAACCUGAAGUUCCGGUGCUGUUUCAGGCUCCAUGAACCAUGUGUGAUCAAAACACUCUAAGGAAUUAGUGGUUUUCUCACAUGCACUCCUUGACAUCUGUUCUUUAGCCUGCCAGCCAUAUUUGAUGCUAAGGGAGAAAGAGAGAGCUGUCUCCCAAACAGAAUCCUUUGCCAUACAUCUAUCGUGUAGUGUUGACAGUCCUUCUUGCAGUGUGGUGCGGGGGCAAUGAUAUCUCUGUAAAAAUUCUCACUAGGAUCCAAUGAUUUAUUUAGCUAACAGCUAAGUUAAUUAUGUCAGUUUGACAAUUUCAAGAGGGAAGGAAAAACACACAUGGGCUGGAUGAGGAGAUUGUCUCCGUAAUAUUUUAUACCAGGACAUGGUUAGGAAACCCAAUGAUUUCUUGGUACAAAUCUCUAAGCGAUCAAACAUUCCCCUAUAAUCAAGACCAUCACUAAGUUUUAAAAGAAAUAUAUUUUCCCCCACAACUGAAACGGGUGAAGUAAGGCAAAAACACCAAGCGAAAAAUAAGCAUUCGGUUUUCAAGUAAUGGACUGUUUCCUCUGGAAGGAGAAGGGAAUCUGGGUGUCUGGAUCCCGGUUUCUGCUCUGCUUCUUAGUGGCCCUCUCUUCACCUUAGCUUUCUCAUCUGUACAGCAAAGGAUUGGCCAAGCAGGCAUCUAAGCCCUUACAGUUAUUGCCUGCCAGGAUGCCAUAUGAUCAUGGAUGUUCAGUUUUCAGGACUCUGGGACAAGGAGUGGAGUCAGGUGAACACUGGGACUAAGCAGACAUCACAGGUUCUCUGCCUCAGAGCCAAAGCCACAUUCCCCGCCCUGGUCAGAGAAGGCCUUCCUUGUUUCUUAUAGCAUUAAUCUCAGUACCUCUAUGCUAUUCAAAGGCUCAACUAUUGCAUUUUCUUUACACAAAAUUCUUACUGAUCUCUUUCUCCCAUAGGUCUUGAAGCUAAGUACAGAUUUAUUCAUCCUUUCUAUGCAUAUUUUUGAGCACCUGCUAUAGGAAAAACACUGUUUCCAGUACUAGGGAUAUAGGGCAAACAAAACAAUCUCUGCUGUCAUAGAGAUACCUGCUGGAGCUUUGAUAGCUUUCUGCAUGAGAAAUGGGCUAGGUAGGAUUCUCACAUUAGGGAUGAGAAAAGGAGGAACCGUGGGCAGACAAUUUCAGCACUCUGGAGAUGCAAGACAAAAACAAAGUCUGCAAACAGACUAGAAUAGAAUAGCUUAUAAAAGGACAUUGUGAGCUGGGAGCGGUGGCUCACACCUGUAAUCCCAGCACUUUGGGAGGCUGAAGUGGGCAGAUCACUCAAGGCCAGGAGUUUGAGACCAGCCUGGCCAACAUGACAAAACCCUGUCUCUACUAAAAAAAAAUACAAAAAUUAGCCAGGUGGCACAUGCCUGUAAUCCCAGCCACUGGGUAGGCUAAGACACAAGAAUCGCUUGAACCCAGGAGGUGGAGGUUGUAGUGAGCCGAGAUCACAGCAAUCACUGCAGCCUAAGGGAAAGAGUGAAACUCUGUGUCCAAAAAAAAAAAAAAAAAAAGAAGAAAGAAAAAAGAAAAAAAGGACAUUGUGACAGAACAGUGUUUGCAUAAUACCUUAGUUUCUUCUGCAACUAAGAAGUAACAUUUACAGGACAGUCUAGGAUGGAGAAAUCCCUUCUACAAAUUUCCUAUCAUUUUCUUUAACAAAAACCUGUCAAGGUAUUAUUAUUGCCUUUUUAAUCAAUGAAGUUGAUGAAUACUCAGAAAGUUUUACGUGACCAGCCUGAGAUAACUAUUAAAUGGCAGUGAUGAGACUGACUCUGGUGUUUACUUCAAAUCUCACUCUUUCCAUCAUGAUAAAACUGCUCUCAACAUUUCUUAUUCCAUUUUUGUUUCUGAAAGAUGGUUUUAGUGAACUGAAGCUUGCCAAAACCUCAUUCUGACUACAAAUCAUGGAGCCUCCCCCAUGAACUUACCAACUGCUUCCAGAGUUACUUCUUAAAUCUUGUUUUAGCCAUUAAAUUUUGGUCUGAUAAAUAAGGCAGUCAUUUUAACUAUGUAAGAAGAAUGAAAAUAGGGGGAAAAUGACUAACCCCUCCUACAUUUUCCCUGUCAACGGGGAAAGAACAAGUCAGGACUGGAUUUAAACGUACGUCCAUGGUUUAAGGAUGAGGAGUUUGGGGAAUCGUCUUUAGGUUCAUAAAAGAUGCCUCAUUUCACUUUCACUGAGAGAAUGAAAGAAGAUGGGAGUGUUGAGCUUGUAACACAAGGAAUUUAAAUUAAAGGCAUAACAGAACUUCAAAACAGUAAGAGACAUCAUUCACUGGAAUGGAAGGACGCUUCAGAAACAUGUGGAUUCCUCUUCUCUUGCCAUGUGAUUCUCCUAGGAGGCUUCGAGUGGAGGAUAGGGGUGAUGACUGAAAUGAUUUCAGAAGGUUCCAUCCAGUCUUCACUGUGUAGUUUCAGUUGGUACAGUAGAAAGAGUAAUGGACAAGGAUGCAGGUGUCUGGGUUCUCCAGGGCUCUGUCACUCUCUAGCUGGGCACCCUCCGACAGAACAUUUAACUCCUCUGAGCCUUAGUUUUGUUACCUUAAUCAUAAAAUGGGACUAGUGGAUCUUGGUCUAACCUCCCUGACAGAUGAUGAUGAAAAGCCCUUGAGAUAACCUUUACUAUAUGUAAGUUCAUGAGGGCAAACUUCUUUAUUUUUAUUACUAUGAUAUUCCAAGAGUGUGCUUGGGAAUAUGUACUCCACCUGGUACAUGGCAAGCAUUCAAUAAGGGUUUGGUGAAUAGAUGUAUAAACAACUGAUGUAAAAAUACUUUGCAAUGUGGAAAGAAUGGAAAUGGGAAGUAUCACAGGUAUAUCAAUUGCCUGUGGUGACUAUUCCAGUGUGUAACCCCAUUACCUCUUUCACCUUCAUACCAUCCCGUGCCCGCCCCUAUGAGUCAGCAUGAGCUCAGAAGGGACAAACUGAUAAUGUUGAUCUCUAUCAAACAAAAUCAAGCUGGUGGCUACAGGAAGCAUAUCAUGAUACUUGGUGAAAAUUGAAGUUACAGAUGCUAUUGGUGGCUUCUUUUUUGGAAGUUUCUAUUUUCCUUGGGCCUUGUUGAAGGGAGUAUAGAGAACCUACCUGUUGUUUUAUCUGAACUUAACAGGGACGUGGGCAUACAGACCAGGAGGAAGGCUCUCCAAGCCCAUCUUUGAUGAAAGCCCUUCUGACAGAUUAUCUGUAAUUCCUUGACAGGGCAGUGAGUUGCUGUCCCAACUGACUGCAGGCAGUUAUGAUCAGAUAAUUGAAUUGGCGCAUGCCCCUGUGUAAUCGAAAAAAGUUGGCACCCAUCUCUCAACUUGAUAUUAACUUAGCGUUUUUCCAGACAACCUCCCUGCCCCAUCACAGAGUUGCCUCUCAAAUAUAAAUGUCAAGUAAGGCAGCAGAAAUUAAUUUUAUAUGCUUUGUGGGCACUAGGUAAUACUCAGAAGGCUAACAAUGGAAGAACAGAAUUAUAAAAGAAUUGGGAAUGAAUAUGCUUUAUAGACCCUGGCACAUUGCCCAGGGCAGUAGAGUAAGUGGGAGAAGAAAACGCUGGUGAUUGGGGUGAGUAGUCAGCUUUCUUUUCAGCAUGAGUGGUUUUUAGAACAACCAGAAUGUUCCCUUUUAAAGACAGCAUACACGCUUUUGAUUCCUAGGCCUACCUCCAAGACACCAGGACGCUCAAGUCUUCUGAUGUCCAGGUACCCAGUUGAUGGUGGUAGCAAUAGAUUUUGUUCUGGCAAUUGUAGUGUUCUCCACAUGAAGAAUAAAGAUGGGAGCACCUAAUUGGUAUUCUGCCUGCACUGAACAUUUUAGCUUGUAGUUCAGUGGGUUGCUCUGAAAUUACAUUGCCUAUGUCUGAAUUCCACUUUUGCCAUUUAGUGGCUGUGCAACCUUAGGCAGCUUACUUAAUUUCCAUGUGCCUUAGUUUUCAUAUCCAUAAACUACAAAUAAUACUAGCACCUAUUUCAUAGAGUGGUUGAAAGGGUUCAACCAGCUGACUCAUGAAAAGCAUGUAGAAAAUUGUCUGGCACAUGAUAAGUACUCAGCUAACAUUGGUUGUACAAAUUAUAUUGUCAAUUAAAAAUGUAUGCAAUUUGAACUUUCCAACUUUAGAUUAGGGAUGGCUAUCUUUCCCAACUUUUUUCUUUCUCCAUUAGUGUUGAGAGAUUUUAAUGCUUCUGUGAUUCUAUAACCCUAUCUCUACGUUUAGAUCUCGACUUCCAUCAAUAAGAGGUAGAGUUAGAAAAGUACCUGGGACUGAAAGUUCUGAGUUUGUGUGCCAACUCAGCCAGUAACUAGCUGGAUGACUCUAGGGUAAGGUCACUUUCCCUCCUGCAGUCUCACUUGUUUAUUUUCAAAUGAGGGGAUUGGACCACUUGACCUCUAGAGAUGCUUCUAGUCCCAACAUUCAAGAAAUCUGCUACUCCCAUGGAAGCUCAGGGACCCUCAUACCUAAAUCCUUAGGUGACCUAGUUUGGCUUCUACUCUGUGUUGAAUACCAGUGGCACAUCACCAAUCCUCCUUUCCCAAGUACAUUUUCACCAUACUUUCUGCCUCCCACUCCUCCUACUCCUCCUCUGUCACUUAGCAACUUGGGGUCCCAGCAUGAGUAAGUGGGAGGAACUGGAAUUUCCAGAGUCCAACUAGCUGCAAACUUCCCCUUCUAGUUCCCUAGGUCACCCUCACAUUUCUUGCAGCUUCUCAAGGUCCCUGGUCUUUUUACUUCCAGAACAUCUUGUCAACGGAAGACGCUCUACAGAAUGAGCAGUCACAUGUGAAUGGGUCUGUCUCAUGUAGUCAUGGAGCUAUCAUUUUCCCCUUAGUUUAUCAUCAAGUCAACUGGAAGUUGAAGUCCCAAUAUUAUAGGCAACCAGCAUGUGCUUCUACCCUGUACAUGGUCUUAAAAGUCAGGACAUAUAUGAAAUUGUGAUACGAUAUCAUUCCUAACUUAAGACCCUGAUGCAGAGGAAUAAUAUAUGGCCAUGAUGAUUCCUCAAGGAUCUAGAACCAGAAAUACCAUUUGACCCAGCAAUCCCAUUACUGGGUAUAUGCUCAAAGGAUUAUAAAUCAUUCUACUAUAAAGACACACGCACAUGUAUGUUUAUUGCAGCACUAUUCACAAUAGCAAAGUCUUGGAACCAACCCAAAUGCCCAUCAAUGAUAGACUGGAUAGAGAAAAUGUGGCACAUAUACACCAUGGAAUACUAUGCAGCCAUUAAAAAGGAUGAGUUCAUGUCCUUUGCAGGGACAUGGAUGAAGCUGGAAACCAUCAUCCUCAGCAAACUAACACAAGCAACUAAACACCCUCAAUCUGGGUGGGCAUCACCUAAUCAGCAGCCAGUGCAGCUAGGAUAAGGAGGCAGGAGAAGGCGGAAUAGCAGACUUGCUGGGUCUUCCAGGCUCCAUCUUUCUCCCGUGCUGGAUGCUUCCUGCCUUCAAACAUCAGACUCCAGGUUUUUCAGCUUUUGGAUUCUUGGACUUACACCAGUGAUUUGCCAGGGGCUCUUCGGCCUUUGCCCAAAGACUGAAGGCUGCACUGUCAGCUUCCCUACUUCUGAGGUUUUGGGACUUGCACUGACUUCCUUGCUCCUCAGCUUGUAGAUGGUCUAUGUUGGGACUUCACCUUGUGAUCGUGUGAGUCAAUUUUUCUAAUAAACUCCCCUUCCUAUAUACAUAUAUCCUAUUAAUUCUGUUCCUUCAGAGAGCCCUGACUAAUACACUACCCAAAGGAAAAGAAGUCAUUUUAUGAAAAAGGCACCUGCACACACAUGUUUAUGGCAGCCCAAUUCACAAUUGCAAAGAUACGGAAGCAACCUAAGUCCACAUCGAUCAGUGAGUGGAUAAAGAAAAUGUAGUAUAUAUCCACCAUGGAACACUACUUAGCCAUAAAGAGGAAGAAAGUAAUGUCUUUUGCAGCAACUUGGAUGGAGCUGCAGGUCAUUAUUCUAAGUAAAGUAACCCAGGAAUGGAAACCCAAAUACUGUACAUUCUUACUUAUAAGUGGGAACUAAGCUAUAGGGAAGCAAAAACAUAUACAGUGAUAUAAAGGACUGUGGGAACUUGGCGGAGAAGUUGAGAGGAGGGUGAGAGAUAAAAGACUACAUAUUAGGUACAGUGUACACUGUUUGGGUGAUGGGUGCACUAAAAUCUCAGAAUUCACCAGUAAAGAACUCAUCCACCCUAAAAACUAUUGAAAUAAAAAAUAAUAAUAUAAAGAAAAAUAAAAUAAAUAAUAAUAAACUAUUGUUACAAUAGCUUGGGUGAAUCUCAAAGGCAUAAUGCUGAGUGAAAGAAGCUAGUUUCAGAAAAUUACAUGCUGUAUAAAUUCAUUCAUAUGACAUCCUCAAAAAGAUAAAACUAUAGUAAUAGAGAAAAGAUCAUUGGUUGCCGGGGUUAGAAAUAUGGAGAGAGUAUGACUACAAAGGGAGUAGUAGCAUGAAGGAGUUCUUUGGGGUCAUGGAACUGUACUGUAUUCUGAUAAUAGUAGUGGUUACAUGAUCCUACAUAUAUGUUAAAGCUCAUGGAGCUAUAAAACCCCCGAAAGUCAAUUUUGCUAUAUUUUAAUUUUUAAAGAAAGGAACAUAGAGCUAUUUUGAGAAAAAUAAAGACAUGAAAGGAUAGCCCAAGAGAGUCCAGUAGAAGAAGCAGAGGCAAAGUUUUCCUUGGCUCUUGGUUAUGGGCUGUCUGCUGAAUAUGAGUCUUGGAUCUUUUUCAGCAUCAACUUGCAGAAGCUAUGCCUUUCCACCCUUGCCCUUGUAGCUUCUCUGAGUCCAGGUCUCCCCACUCCCAUGCCAAUGGACCCUUCAUAAUGGGGAAGGCAUCACAGCAAGACGCAGGCUUGGGGCUUUCCCAAUGACCAGGUUCUCAUUAAGUGCCAUCUCACCAUCAACCAGCGACAGCAAUGUCCCUCUUGCCCAAGCUCCUCCCUUCCCUGCACUCUGGUUGCCCUCUAAAUGGCACCAGCCCAAACCAGGGACAGUCACUCGUCCACUCACUUCCCAAAUAUUUACAGAGCGCCUGUUGGGUGCCAGGCUCCUCCAGGGGCCCUGCUGCCAGGCCGAAGCCCACGGCGGCAUAUUCUGGAGAGCCCGGCUGUUGGAGCAGCUGUCCUCUCAAGAACCAGCACUGGCAUGUCCUGUCCCAGAGGACCCAGGUCGUUAUCUCAUUUCCCAUCUUUGCAGAUUUUAAAUGCUUUCCAACACUUCACCCCUUUCUCAGAUGAAGAUUUAAACAUAGGCGGGUGGACAUCCAAUAUGGUAAUAUUUUUCUGUUGAUUCAUCAACCUCCACAGGCACUUGCUUCCUUGAUUCUCUGACCUUAUUCAGUUGGUACUUUCAGUGUGACAACUUUUCUCAACUCACUGGCAGAAAAAAUCAUUCUCGUCCUGUUUCCAGAGGUGCAACAGGAGGUUGGCAAGAGUAAGUCUUAAAGAACAGCAGUGAUGCCUGCUAGGGCCCUGACAGAUUGGCAAUAGAACUGGGGCUAGAGUCUACACCGCAAGAGCUCCCGUGCGUUUCCACAGUCAAACAACCCAGAAUGCUGAACAUCUUACAAUCUGAAGAAUUUGUCCAAAAACCAGACAGAAAUGGAGGAAGCUCUCUCCCAAGUAUCUGCAUAAGCAACGUAGGGCAGAAACACUUUCAAAACUCUGUCGUGUCCUGGGGGCAAGAGAUGUUUUUGAUAGAUGUUGCGAUGACAGCAGUUCACAGCAGCCCCACAUUCAGGGAACUGUUCCAGCGCGCCAGAGGUUGGGAGGCUUUUAACUCUCUUCAUUCAUCCUCACACACGCCAGCUAAGCGAAAGCAACGUGAAGGAGCUGACAAACCACAAAGACCAGGAAAUGCAGAGUAAAUGCUGAUCGGAAGAGCAGUAGAAGGUAAAUGGGUAUCAAAAUAUAAUCUGGGAGUGCGGGCUGGCCUUAGGAUGCUUGAAAGCUGUUCUGAUGACUUCCCAGCACACGCGGAGGAGACCAGCCCGCAGGUGCCAGGAGCGGGAAGGGAAGCAAAUGUACACCCUUGUGCACUUGCCCAGUGCACACCGCAAAUGUGCUGUCCCUGGUGCGGUGUGCAGCAAGGCUGGCCUAAUGCUAAACUUUGGUCAGAGCUUUGCUGAGUGAGAACGCCAGUUCCAACCCUCAAUGUGACACUUUAUUAAUUAAGUGAGGGAUUUACAGCAAUAACUGAUAAUCAAAUGGAACAAUUGUAACAAUAUACUGCAAUACAAGUUUUGUGAUUGUGGUCUCUACCUUGCUGUACUGUGCUCAC
rnacentral:lncRNA from 1 species